GAUGAACGCUGGCGGCGUGCCUAAUACAUGCAAGUCGAGCGAACAGAUAAGGAGCUUGCUCCUUUGACGUUAGCGGCGGACGGGUGGGUAACACGUGGGUAACCUACCUAUAAGACUGGAAUAACUCCGGGAAACCGGGGCUAAUGCCGGAUAACAUUUAGAACCGCAUGGUUCUAAAGUGAAAGAUGGUUUUGCUAUCACUUAUAGAUGGACCCGCGCCGUAUUAGCUAGUUGGUAAGGUCACGGCUUACCAAGGCAACGAUACGUAGCCGACCUGAGAGGGUGAUCGGCCACACUGGAACUGAGACACGGUCCAGACUCCUACGGGAGGCAGCAGUAGGGAAUCUUCCGCAAUGGGCGAAAGCCUGACGGAGCAACGCCGCGUGAGUGAUGAAGGUCUUCGGAUCGUAAAACUCUGUUAUUAGGGAAGAACAAAUGUGUAAGUAACUGUGCACGUCUUGACGGUACCUAAUCAGAAAGCCACGGCUAACUACGUG
rnacentral:rRNA from 1 species